GGUUAAGCGACUAAGCGUACACGGUGGAUGCCCUGGCAGUCAGAGGCGAUGAAGGACGUGCUAAUCUGCGAAAAGCGUCGGUAAGGUGAUAUGAACCGUUAUAACCGGCGAUGUCCGAAUGGGGAAACCCAGUGCAAUUCGUUGCACUAUCGUUAACUGAAUACAUAGGUUAACGAGGCGAACCGGGGGAACUGAAACAUCUAAGUACCCCGAGGAAAAGAAAUCAACCGAGAUUCCCCCAGUAGCGGCGAGCGAACGGGGAGCAGCCCAGAGUCUGAAUCAGCUUGUGUGUUAGUGGAACGGUCUGGAAAGUCCGACGGUACAGGGUGAUAGUCCCGUACACCAAAAUGCACAGGCUGUGAACUCGAAGAGUAGGGCGGGACACGUGGUAUCCUGUCUGAAUAUGGGGGGACCAUCCUCCAAGGCUAAAUACUCCUGACUGACCGAUAGUGAACCAGUACCGUGAGGGAAAGGCGAAAAGAACCCCGGCGAGGGGAGUGAAAAAGAACCUGAAACCGUGUACGUACAAGCAGUGGGAGCACCUUCGGGUGUGACUGCGUACCUUUUGUAUAAUGGGUCAGCGACUUAUAUUCUGUAGCAAGGUUAACCGUAUAGGGGAGCCGCAGGGAAACCGAGUCUUAACUGGGCGUUAAGUUGCAGGGUAUAGACCCGAAACCCGGUGAUCUAGCCAUGGGCAGGUUGAAGGUUGGGUAACACUAACUGGAGGACCGAACCGACUAAUGUUGAAAAAUUAGCGGAUGACUUGUGGCUGGGGGUGAAAGGCCAAUCAAACCGGGAGAUAGCUGGUUCUCCCCGAAAGCUAUUUAGGUAGCGCCUCGUGAACUCAUCUUCGGGGGUAGAGCACUGUUUCGGCUAGGGGGUCAUCCCGACUUACCAACCCGAUGCAAACUACGAAUACCGAAGAAUGUUAUCACGGGAGACACACGGCGGGUGCUAACGUCCGUCGUGAAGAGGGAAACAACCCAGACCGCCAGCUAAGGUCCCAAAGUCAUGGUUAAGUGGGAAACGAUGUGGGAAGGCACAGACAGCCAGGAUGUUGGCUUAGAAGCAGCCAUCAUUUAAAGAAAGCGUAAUAGCUCACUGGUCGAGUCGGCCUGCGCGGAAGAUGUAACGGGGCUAAACCAUGCACCGAAGCUGCGGCAGCGACACUAUGUGUUGUUGGGUAGGGGAGCGUUCUGUAAGCCUGCGAAGGUGACCUGUGAGGGUUGCUGGAGGUAUCAGAAGUGCGAAUGCUGACAUAAGUAACGAUAAAGCGGGUGAAAAGCCCGCUCGCCGGAAGACCAAGGGUUCCUGUCCAACGUUAAUCGGGGCAGGGUGAGUCGACCCCUAAGGCGAGGCCGAAAGGCGUAGUCGAUGGGAAACAGGUUAAUAUUCCUGUACUUGGUGUUACUGCGAAGGGGGGACGGAGAAGGCUAUGUUAGCCGGGCGACGGUUGUCCCGGUUUAAGCAUGUAGGCUGAUUGUCCAGGCAAAUCCGGAUAAUCAAGGCUGAGGUGUGAUGACGAGGCACUACGGUGCUGAAGUAACAAAUGCCCUGCUUCCAGGAAAAGCCUCUAAGCAUCAGGUAACAUCAAAUCGUACCCCAAACCGACACAGGUGGUCAGGUAGAGAAUACCAAGGCGCUUGAGAGAACUCGGGUGAAGGAACUAGGCAAAAUGGUGCCGUAACUUCGGGAGAAGGCACGCUGGUGUGUAGGUGAAGUCCCUGCGGAUGGAGCUGAGACCAGUCGAAGAUACCAGCUGGCUGCAACUGUUUAUUAAAAACACAGCACUGUGCAAACACGAAAGUGGACGUAUACGGUGUGACGCCUGCCCGGUGCCGGAAGGUUAAUUGAUGGGGUUAUCCGUAAGGAGAAGCUCUUGAUCGAAGCCCCGGUAAACGGCGGCCGUAACUAUAACGGUCCUAAGGUAGCGAAAUUCCUUGUCGGGUAAGUUCCGACCUGCACGAAUGGCGUAAUGAUGGCCAGGCUGUCUCCACCCGAGACUCAGUGAAAUUGAACUCGCUGUGAAGAUGCAGUGUACCCGCGGCAAGACGGAAAGACCCCGUGAACCUUUACUAUAGCUUGACACUGAACAUUGAGCCUUGAUGUGUAGGAUAGGUGGGAGGCUUUGAAGCGUGGACGCCAGUCUGCGUGGAGCCAACCUUGAAAUACCACCCUUUAAUGUUUGAUGUUCUAACGUUGGCCCCUUACCGGGGUUGCGGACAGUGUCUGGUGGGUAGUUUGACUGGGGCGGUCUCCUCCCAAAGCGUAACGGAGGAGCACGAAGGUUAGCUAAUCCUGGUCGGACAUCAGGAGGUUAGUGCAAUGGCAUAAGCUAGCUUGACUGCGAGCGUGACGGCGCGAGCAGGUGCGAAAGCAGGUCAUAGUGAUCCGGUGGUUCUGAAUGGAAGGGCCAUCGCUCAACGGAUAAAAGGUACUCCGGGGAUAACAGGCUGAUACCGCCCAAGAGUUCAUAUCGACGGCGGUGUUUGGCACCUCGAUGUCGGCUCAUCACAUCCUGGGGCUGAAGUAGGUCCCAAGGGUAUGGCUGUUCGCCAUUUAAAGUGGUACGCGAGCUGGGUUUAGAACGUCGUGAGACAGUUCGGUCCCUAUCUGCCGUGGGCGCUGGAGAAUUGAGGGGGGCUGCUCCUAGUACGAGAGGACCGGAGUGGACGCAUCACUGGUGUUCGGGUUGUCAUGCCAAUGGCACUGCCCGGUAGCUAAAUGCGGAAGAGAUAAGUGCUGAAAGCAUCUAAGCACGAAACUUGCCCCGAGAUGAGUUCUCCCUGAGACUUUAAGUCUCCUGAAGGAACGUU
rnacentral:rRNA from 1 species